rnacentral:lncRNA from 10 species
ACCCUCCCCUAUGGAGCUCCAGAGAAGGGAUUCGCUCACUCCACCGCGGUAAAAGUCCCCUCCACUUUAUUGAAGCUCUUAAUGAUGGAACUUUAAGAUAUCCCUCUCCCAACGCCUUAAAUUCAAUAUGAAUAAUUUAAAUUUAUAUUUUAGGCAAUAUCCAGAUGUUCUGAGAGUGUGGGGGGCUUGUUGACUAGGAGCUUCGGUGCAGGGUUAUUUGGUUCGAAUAUUUAGUUGGGGGUUUCCAAUGAAUGUCAGUAUCUUUAGAUAUUUCUUUUAACGUUGGUCAGAGUCCCUAGAGAUGAGCUUCUGAUUUCCUGCCUAGAGGGUGUAGAGGUGGUUAUAAGCGUUCUGGGAGCUGAAUGAAGAGAACAGAGCAUCUAACAUGUGUUUCGCCCAAAACCCUGUCUUUUACCAGGGAGGAGGAAAGGGAGCUACCUAGCAGCAAGGGUUGUGUAGAGGACCUGUGGACUUGACAGCCUCUUAAACAAACUAACACGGAAGGAGUACCAUAGAGACCAUAACAAACAAGGGGGGGGGAAAGCAACCCUCAGAGGAAAAAGAAACCACACGGUGAGAAGAAAAAUCAAAUACAUGUGCACAGAGAUAUAUAAUCGAGCUACAAAUUACUAUUGCAAGCAUAAAACAAGGAUGGCUGGGCGCUGUGGCUCACGCCUGUAAUCCCAGCACUUUGGGAGGCCGAGGCAGGCAGAUUACGAGGUCAGGAGAUCGAGACCAUCCUGGCUAACAUGGUGAAACCCCGUCUCUACUAAAAAUACAAAAAAUUAGCCAGGCGUGGUGGUGGGCGCCUGUAGUCCCAGCUACUCAGGAGGCUGAGGCAGGAGAAUGGCGUGAACCCGGGAGGUGGAGCGUGCAGUGAGCAGAGACCGCACCACUGCACUCUAGCCUGGACGACAGAGCAAGACUCCGUCUCAUUUAAAAAAAAAAAAAAAAACAAGGAUACUAUUUUUUAAAUUACCUAUUAUGGGAACAUAAUCGUAUAUAUUUAUAGUGUACAUGUGUGUUUGUUUUUUUUUUGCUCAGGCUGGGGUGCAAUGGCGUUAUCUCUGCUCGCAGCAACCUCCGCCUCCCAGGUUCAAGCGAUUCGCCUGCCUCAGCCUCCCAAGUAGCUGGGAUUACAGGCAUGCACCACCACGCCCGUCUAAUUUUGUAUUUUUAGUAGAGACGAUGUUUCUCCAUGUUAGUCAGGCUGGUCUCGAACUCCCGGCCUCGGGUGAACUGCCCGCCUUGGCGUACCAAAGUGCUGGGAUUACAGGUGUGAGCCACUGCGCCCGGCCUUUUUUUCUGGGGCGGGGCGGGGGACGGGUAAAGAAAUUUUAAUGAGGAUUCAAGGUUUGUAGGGAAGACACAGAGGACCGGCGCUCAGCCCCAGCCUCCUCACGUGUACAUGGCUCCAUGGAGGUUCUCCAGUCGGUUCUGCUGCUGCUGCUGUUUUCGAGCCUUAUCUCGUCUGUGUUCCUCAUAAGUGUAGUCAUCAGUGGGCAGCUCAUGGCGGCACAAGGGACAGGAAUUUGUCUUGCUUAGCCAGGGCAGAAUGCAACUGGAAUGAAAAAGGUGUUGGGAAGCAUCUCAAUGGCAGUCUCCUCCUCAGAUUCCAAAAGAUACACGGGGCACUUGAGCUCAGCCUUGAGAGCCUCUGAUGACUGUCCUGGAGAGGUUCUCAACCACAAUCUUGGCAGCCGGUGGAGGCAGGUGGUGGUCCCAAUCUACUACCAACCCCAAGUCUUCAAAGUCCAUCCUAUUCAAAAGUGACCUUACGAGCUCCAGCACCAUGUUGGUUCGAGUCUCCUGCUUGAGGGUCCAACGGCUCACAGUCGUGUUCAUCGAUAUAGGACGCCAUGGCUGCCCAGCCGUCUGACAUGUGAUGUUUUGAUACAGGUAUACAAUGUGUAACUAUCAAAUCCGAGUAACUGGGGUAUUGAUCAUCUUGAGAAUUUAUCAUUUCUUUGUGUUAGGAACAGUCCAAUUCCACUCUUUUAGUUAUUUUAAAAUAUGCAAUAAAUUAUUAAC